rnacentral:rRNA from 1 species
CACGUAGGUGGCGACGUAAGUCGGGUGUGAAAGCCCCGGGCUCAACCUGGGAAUUGCAUUCGAGACUGUGUCGCUGGAGUACGGAAGAGGAAGGCGGAAUUCCCGGUGUAGCGGUGAAAUGCGUAGAUAUCGGGAGGAACAUCAGUGGCGAAGGCGGCCUUCUGGUCCAGUACUGACACUCAAGUGCGAAAGCGUGGGGAGCAAACA